AAAUUUAUGCCAGACCUUUCAGUGUCGUGCAAACCUUGUGAUCAGAUCAGCACAACAUUAGCACACGAGAAUAGAACCUUCUCGUCCUAUAAAACAAUGCCAAGGCAACUACAACUCCAGAAAGACUUACUGAUGCUAAUAUGAAAUAAGAUAACAUGAAGCAGUGAGUACCAAAGCAUGAAUUUCCUUCUCCUGAUGCCUCUUUGUCAUAUAUAUAGCCGAUUACUCUGACAGAAAGAACAUAAGAGCCCACUGGACUAGCUAUCGCGAU
rnacentral:misc_RNA from 1 species